AUUGAACGCUGGCGGCAUGCCUUACACAUGCAAGUCGAACGGUAACGGGCCUUCGGGUGCCGACGAGUGGCGAACGGGUGAGUAAUGCAUCGGAACGUACCUUCAGUGGGGGAUAACGUAGCGAAAGUUACGCUAAUACCGCAUAUUCUGUGAGCAGGAAAGCAGGGGAUCGCAAGACCUUGCGCUGAUUGAGCGGCCGAUGUCAGAUUAGCUAGUUGGUGAGGUAAAGGCUCACCAAGGCGACGAUCUGUAGCGGGUCUGAGAGGAUGAUCCGCCACACUGGAACUGAGACACGGUCCAGACUCCUACGGGAGGCAGCAGUGGGGAAUUUUGGACAAUGGGGGCAACCCUGAUCCAGCCAUGCCGCGUGAGUGAAGAAGGCCUUCGGGUUGUAAAGCUCUUUCGGCCGGGAAGAAAUCGCAUGGGUUAAUACCCUGUGCGGAUGACGGUACCGGCAUAAGAAGCACCGGCUAACUACGUG
rnacentral:rRNA from 1 species